GAUGCUGUGUGACCCGCCGUCACCUCGGGGAAGCCGGGGAAACGGGAGGGCCACUCCUUCUCACGCCUCGCUUCCCGCGGUGUGUUUCUACAGACUCGGUGGCGGAGCGCACCGACUGCCGCCAGGAUGAGGAGGCUGCAGGAACUCACGACGACGAUGUUGUGGAGGCCGGUGGGAGUGAGAAGACUGAGGCAAAGCCCCGGGCUGGGGGACAUGAGGACGAGGCGGCCCCAGUACCUGAGGUGGAGGUGGAGGAGGAGGCGGGCCAGCCCCGUGAAAAUGGCCAGGAGGAGUCCUUAGCCAUCGCCUGGGCUGAGCCGGAAGACGAGCCUGGCCCCAAGGUGGACGGGGCGGACGAUGAAAUCUCUUGGAGCUUGGAGAGUGUGUGUGAGAGCGACCUCGCUGACAGCAACCUCGCAGAAAGUGAUCGAGACUCGGUGGCGGAGCGCACCGACUGCCGCCAGGAUGAGGAGGCUGCAGGUAGGGAAGAGCACGCAGCUGGGAUCCCAGGGGGAGAGGGUUCCUGGAGCAGCUGGGUUCCACCUGCUGCCGGGAGAGGGCGGAAGGGGGCUAGGACUUGGGUGGGUGGCCUACUGAGCGGAACUCCGCUGUUGGUGUUUUCCCCCUCUGAAGUUGCUAAGCCGAAGACGACUUGGGUCCCUGGUCUUUGUUGUGCUGUGUUUGGAUUCGUGUCUCCUUCCUUUGAGAGGGAGAAUGGCUUUUCCCU
rnacentral:lncRNA from 9 species